CCUGCCCCCAGAGGCAUUCUAGGUGUGGUUGCAGUGUCUCAUGUAUGUCAGUAGGUGGCAGAGAGGAGAGAAGAGAGGAUAUGUCUAUGUUUGGUGUUCUAAUGUGUGAAGAUCUGAACGACAAGUAGACUAAGACU
ensembl:snoRNA LOC120101323 small nucleolar RNA SNORA17